rnacentral:rRNA from 1 species
AUUGAACGCUGGCGGCAUGCUUUACACAUGCAAGUCGAACGGCAGCGCGGGCUUCGGCCUGGCGGCGAUUGGCGAACGGUUGAGUAAUGCAUCUGAACUUGCCCAGUAGUGGGGGAUAGGCCGGCGAAAGCCGGAUUAAUACCGCAUACGACCUGUGGUUGAAAGCGGGGGACCGAAAGGCCUCUCGCCAUUUUAGCGGGCGAUGUCGGAUUAGCUAGGUGGUGGGGUAAAGGCUUACCCAGGCUACGAUCCGUAGCUGGUCUUAAAGGACGACCAGACAGCCGGGGAGUGAGAAACGGCACCGACUCCGACGGGAGGACGCAGCGGGGAAUUUUGGGGGAUGGGGGAAAGCCGAAUACAGGACUGCCGGCGGAGGGAAGAACGACUUAGGGUUCGAAAGCGAUUUUGUUCGGGGAGAAAUACUGCUGGCUAAUCCCCCAGGGGGAUGACGGUACCGGAAGAAUAAGCACCGGCUAACUACGUG